GAAGGUUGACGAAAAUUCUUACUGAGCA
rnacentral:piRNA from 1 species